rnacentral:rRNA from 1 species
UACAGAGGAUGCAAGCGUUAUCCGGAAUGAUUGGGCGUAAAGCGUCUGUAGGUGGCUUUUUAAGUCCGCCGUCAAAUCCCAGGGCUCAACUCUGGACAGGCGGUGGAAACUACCAAGCUUGAGUACGGUAGGGCAGAGGGAAUUUCCGGUGGAGCGGGUGAAAGUGACGUAGAGAUCGGAAAGAACACCAACGGCGAAAGCACUCUGCUGGCCGACACUGACACUGAGAGACGAAAGCUAGGGGAGCGAAUGGG